UCUGUUUUUCACUUUUUGUUUGUAAUGGAAGUAACUUAAAUAAUGCAGUAAUAUAUUUCCAAUUUUGUGCACCCUUUUUUUUUUUUUAGGAUCCCCACCUACACAAUCAGAUGCUCAUGCAUUAACAGAGAUUGCCGCUUGCAGCAGCGUCCUGCAAGAAGUUGAAGAGAAUCAUAAUGAACAGAAUAUUGAAGGAGAGGAAACUUUGCUCCUUUUUGAAGAUGAUUCAGAAAAUGUUGAAUACGUUCUGAAUUUACAACCAAUACAGGAGACAUCUCCUGUACAUUCCUCAAGUACAAAUGUAGAAGUACCAGAAGAAGAAAUUGGAGAUGUACACGAAGAUAUCCAACAAGAAGCACAAGCACCAACUGAAGAGGCAAUAUCAGUAAAUUUGGUUAACAUUCUGCAAUUAGCCACAAAUUUUCAGAAUGAACAAAGGGCUUUUUUUCAACAGAUGAGUGACCUGCAAAGUGAACGCUUGGAAAUUGACAGGCAGAGUUUACUUGCACGUCAAGAGACAAAUAGGUUGCUU